rnacentral:rRNA from 1 species
AGUGAACGCUGGCGGUAGGCCUAACACAUGCAAGUCGAACGGCAGCACAGUAAGAGCUUGCUCUUACGGGUGGCGAGUGGCGGACGGGUGAGGAAUACAUCGGAAUCUACUUUUUCGUGGGGGAUAACAUAGGGAAACUUACGCUAAUACCGCAUACGACCUACGGGUGAAAGCAGGGGAUCUUCGGACCUUGCGCGAUUGAAUGAGCCGAUGUCGGAUUAGCUAGUUGGCGGGGUAAAGGCCCACCAAGGCGACGAUCCGUAGCUGGUCUGAGAGGAUGAUCAGCCACACUGGAACUGAGACACGGUCCAGACUCCUACGGGAGGCAGCAGUGGGGAAUAUUGGACAAUGGGCGCAAGCCUGAUCCAGCCAUACCGCGUGGGUGAAGAAGGCCUUCGGGUUGUAAAGCCCUUUUGUUGGGAAAGAAAAGCAGCAAGUUAAUACCCCGCUGUUCUGACGGUACCCAAAGAAUAAGCACCGGCUAACUUCGUG